rnacentral:rRNA from 1 species
GACGAACGCUGGCGGCGUGCUUAACACAUGCAAGUCGAACGGAAAGGCCCUGCUUUUGUGGGGUGCUCGAGUGGCGAACGGGUGAGUAACCCGUGAGUAACCUGCCCUUGACUUUGGGAUAACUUCAGGAAACUGGGGCUAAUACCGGAUAGGAGCUCCUGCUGCGUGGUGGGGGUUGGAAAGUUUCGGCGGUUGGGGAUGGACUCGCGGCUUAUCAGCUUGUUGGUGGGGUAGUGGCUUACCAAGGCUUUGACGGGUAGCCGGCCUGUGUGGGUGACCGGCGACAAUGGGACUGAGAUACGGCCCAGAGUCCUACGGGAGGCAGCAGUGGGGAGUAUUGCACAAUGGGCGGAAGCCUGAGGCAGCAACGCCGCGUGCGGGAUGACGGCCUUCGAGUUGUAAACCGCUUUCGCCUGUGACGAAGCGUGAGUGACGGUAAUGGGUAAAGAAGCACCGGCUAACUACGUG